GUUAACUGCCAUAGGUUGGCCCUGACUCAUGGUGAUCCCAUGAACAAUGAACCAAAAGCUGCUUGAUAUGCAUGGGAAGCUAGGAUUCUACCACUGACCCAUCAGUGGCUUGGGGAAUUCCUUGGAAAUGCACAUUUUGGACCUCCCUUAGAUCUACUGAAUUAGCAGCUUUGAGGUUGGUGUUCAGAGAUUUGUGUUUUUCAACCCCCUGAGUGAUUCUGAUGCACACUCAGGCUUGAAGGAGUCUUUCAAGGAAUGGCCUGGACCUAGGAGACAAGGCUUAUGAGGAAAGCACUUUGACAUCAUUUCUGGGCCAUGAUGUUGUGGUCGGAACAUCUCACUCCAUUCAGCAUCCUCACAGCUCAUUCCUUCAGGAGUCCGUGGUCAUCUCCAGUUUUCACCUGAUGGUGUGUGUUCUCCACAAUCUGCCUGUGUCUCCAGCAUUCUCAUUCUCCUCUCUUGUCCACGGAUGAGUUCCUGGUGAUUGGUCCCAGGGACCCCAUUGUGACAGUGCUGGGUGAGGAAACCAUACUGCCUUGCUUCCUGUCGCAGGCCGUGAAUACAGAGAAUAUGGAGCUGCGGUGGUUGUGUUCCAGGUUCCCAGAAGCAGUGCUCAUCUAUCAGAACCAGCAGAAGGAGGAAGAGAUGCCCCACUAUGCAAGGUGGGCCUCGCCGGUGAGUGGUUUUCUCACCCGGGGGAAGGCUGCCGUUCACAUCAACAAGGUCCAGGUUUCUGAUGAUGGGCUGUACACCUGCUCCUUCAAAAAGGGAGACUCCUAUGAAGAGGCCACUUUGGAGGUGAAGGUGACAGGUGUGGGCUCUGCCCCUCAAGUGCACAUUGAAGAGCCGGAGGAAGAUGGGGUCUGUGUGAUCUGUAUGGUUUCUGGGUGCUUUCCAAAGCCCCAGGUUCAGUGGAGAGACCUUAGCGGAGAGAAGUUGCUAGCUUUCUCUGAGGCCCAUGCCCAAGACGCUGAUGGGCUGUUCCAUGUGGAGGCCUCGCUGGUGGUGAGAGACAGCUCUGUGGGGAACGUGACCUGCUCCGUCCUCAACCCCAUCCUGGGCCAGGAGAAGGCGAAGGCCAUUUUCAUUCCAGAGCCCUUCUUCCCUCAGGUCUCUCUCUGGACUCUGGCUUUUGCUGUAAGCCUGACCAUCCUGGUGCUCCUCAUCCUUGGGACUGGCUUUUUUCUGAAGAACGAACUUUCAGCAAAGGUGCAGGCCCAGCAGGAACAGGAGUUUCUUCGGCUGCAUAAGGAGGAGGACAGGCUGAAACCCAGGGAGGCACUGAAGGCCAGAGGUAAGGCAGGGGAGGGACGAGGCUGGUGAGGGCAGAGCUGGUGCUGAGAGGGAACAGCUGACAGCAGGACCUGAGCCUCUGGCUGUGGCCUCCGGGGAGACCCACGGCCCCUGCCCAAAGCAGGAGGCUCAGGUCUGGAAAAGGCAGCUGGAGCCGUGGAGGCUUAGAUGGAUCUGGACGGAAAACUUUCUCCAGCGUAUAGUGAGGGUCUUUUUGUGGGUUCUCCAGGCACACACAGUCUUUCCUUUUCUCCAUGUGAGAGCUCAUGCUUAUUUUCUCUCUUUCAGAUCAGCUCCAGACAGAGCUGGGUAAGUUCUUCUCUCCCUCUUGUGGUCUCUGUGUCCCUUUGGCAGGGGAGAUCCUGGUCCUUAGCUCACCUCAUUUCCUGCGUGUUCCUUUCAGACUGGAGGAAGAAGGUUUACCAGGCUGGGGGUGCAGAUUACAGGUUGCUCCUGGGAGUGUUACCGGAAUAAGGUUCUCGCCCCUCGCUGGUCAAGAAUGAGCAGCCUGGAGGAAGGCCCAGCUGUAUGCAGAUUGGCAGAAGUAGCAGUUUCAGACCUGCUCUGUCACUCUGGACCCACGUUCUGCCCAUCCCAACCUGUCCAUCUCUCAGGAAAAGACGAGUCUGAUCUGGACGGACAUCUGUGAGAACCUGAAUGAUGACAGAUGCAGUGUAUUGGGUCUCAAGGGUAUCACUUCAGGGCAAUGUUACUGGGAGGUGGAGACCAGAUAUGGAGACAAAAGCGAAUGGGUUGUAGGGUGUCCAUCGGGAAGAUGUGGACAGGUAAGACUGGUUCAGAGAGUGCCCAGAAAAGGGGUUCUGGGUUGUGGGACAGUUUGCAGAGGCAUAUUGUACCUGUACUACUCCUCAGACAUGGCUAACCCUUAGGCAAGCUCCCUGCAGGAUGGGGAUUUUCCUAGACUAUGAUGGUGGGGAUAUCUCUUUCUACAACAUGACUGAUGGGUCCCACAUUUUCUCCUUCUCUCAGACUUUCUUCUCUGGGACCCUCUUUCCAUAUUUCAUGUUUAAGUCUGGAGACAUAUCCCUGACUAUCUGUUCCAUGGUCCAUGGGCCCAAGGGGCUCCCUGUGCCCCUUAACAAAUCUCCUUCUUCUUUGAUAGAGCAGCUGAGCCCUUCAGGGGAGGGGUUGAACUCUGGCUCUGGUGGGGAUGUUGUUCUCCCAGGGUCUGAAUCUCCAUUACUGUCCCGCAACUCCAAGGCUGUGCCUCCAUGGGAUACAUCUCUGUGCCUGUUUCCUCACUAUGGCUCUUUUUGGGGCUGCAGACUCCAUAAGGUGAAAGACUCUGAUUGAGUGCUGGAAGGCACUGGGAGUCAUGCCUUUGUGCUUUUGGAUGCAGACUACUGAGGGAGUGUGUGGCUCUGAGAAUCGCCAGUUCCUAUCUUGUGUUUCAAUAGCUAGAAGAAAAAAACCGACUUGUUUGAUCUGGUUGAGUAUAGGUAGAGUUUGGCUAUGGGAGGUUCUUUUCCUUUGAUAAUGAAAAAUAAGCUUUGUGAACAUUUUAUACUUUUUGUAUAUGAAAGGAUAGGGACUGAAUCCCUCUGCAGUAUAGAGUUUGCUUUAUUGAACUUGAUUUUGUGCAGAGUGUAUGGCCCUAGUUCUAUUUUGGGGAGCGUCUAGGCAAUCUGGAAACCCUGGUGGCAUAGUGAUUAAGAGUUCAGCUGCUAACAAAAAGUCAGCAGUUCAAACCCACCAGGUACUCCCUGGACACCGUAUGUGGCAGUUCUACCCUCUCCUGUAGGGUUGCCAUGAGUUGGAAUCGACUCAACGGCAGUGGUUUUUUGGGUUUGGGCAUCCUGACCAGAAAAUGUGAAUAUUUAAAAUUUUCCAAGUAAACGGUUGGUUGAUGAACUUCUAAGAUGAGAGAAGUCUAUAUUCACUUCGUAGACUUAUUCUUGGACGGCUGAAACACACCUAUUUUCCCAAAUCUUCUGUACAUUUCUGCUCCUCAUGAACAUACUGUGUUGUGUUAAUUCAGGAAAUUAAGAAGAAGGAUCUGGGUCCUGUUUUGGUCAACACUAGGUGGACUGAAGAGAAUUGAUAGCCAAAUUAAGAUGUAAAUGGACAAGAGAAUUUUCAGGAGCAGGAAACUGAGCAUUGUCUCAGUUAUCAGUGUAUUGCCUCUUACUACCUCCAAGUCUGAUGCUCGUGGUAAAUGGAAAGCCACAGCAAUGAAAAAGGGACAGGACUAUUGAGUACUGAGACCCUUCAAGAAUGAAGGUGUGAUCAUUCCACCAGGUAAGGAACUCUGAGCUGCUGAGGUUCUGGCUGAGGGUGGGGGAAACACGGAAUGGAAAGUAGAAGAAGAAAGUCAAAGAUAUCAGCUCUAAUUUUGUGGCCAGCUGCAGAAACAAGGAAUAAAAGCUUUGCAUAUUUUAACUUUGUUUCUCAUAUGUAUGUGUUUGUAUAUAUAAACCAUUUUCUUCUCUGUCUUUCUUCCCUUUAUUAUUUUAUGUAGAAGUUGUUGGUGGUUAUGUUUAUUAUAUAGAACAUGAUAACAGAAUAUCCAGGGAACUGUGACAGAAUUUAAGGAGUAAAUAAUAUAGUGGUGAUGGAUUUUAUGACUGAAAGUUUUUUGGGAAAAUGGUGAGAACUUCCUCACCUGUAAGGAUAUCUUUGCCUUGAUAGGUGAAAACAUAAUUCUGUUGCAUGGAAGUUCCAAUGUGUGUAAAAUGGAGUAUAUGGAAGCUGAGUAGCCGAAGUGGCUAUUUUCAAUUUAUUGCCUCUCAGUUCCAAAUUCAUACUGUCUUUGCCCUGCUUUGUGAUACUGCAGCUGGACCGGUAAACAUUUCUUCCUUCAAAUGGGCAUGAUGUUAGACCUUGUCAGGACACUGGGAAUACACUGCAAAACAUAGCAGAGGAGGAACGCCUCUUCCUGGUUCUGAGCUUUUCUUCUUCAUCCCAUGGUGUGAAGGCUCAGUUUUGCUCACCUUUUGGUGAAUUUGUCAGCUUUCCAGGGAGUCUUAAUAGCACCCUGGGGGAAGCUUCCCAGGGAUUCUUGCUGGAACCCCAGUGGGAGGUUUCCUGGCACCAGCCCUGGCCUGUGGCGUAUUAGCAAACUUCUUCAUCAUCCAGUGGCCUGCAGUCCCUGUUUUUCCAAUGAGUUCUGAACGUCAGGCUUGGCAGGGGGCCCUCUCCCAAAUUUCUUCCCUUGGUGCGUUCUGUGCUUCAGCCCUAGAGGUAGUGGCUGUUCCCUAUAGCUGCCAUUUCUGUUUUCUUUAGAGCUUUCUUUUACUUCUUUUAGUAGUUAAGAAACUUUUCCUAGUUAACAAUUUUUUGAACCAUUGUUUGUUUAGUAGUGUGUUGUUAAACUUUCACAUAUUUCAUAUAUUCCGGUUUUCUUUCUAUUAUUAAGUUGUAGUUUCAUUCCGUUGCGGUCAGAAAAGAUACUUUGUAGGAUUUCAGACUCGCUUUGUGCCCUAAGAUAUGGUCUAUCCUGGAGAAUGGUCUAUAUGCACCAGAGAAGAAUGUAAAUUUUGCUGUUAGUCAACAAUUUUUUAUAUUAAAAUUUUCUGUCUUCGUAUGACUGAUACGGCUUCUGUCUCCUUACUGGACUCUGAACUGAUAUAAGCCUGUAAACCCUAAUGGUGCUUAAAGAAGGGCACAAGAUUUCGUACAGUAUGUGGGAAAGGGUACUUGAGGCACUUAGAAUUUUAUUAAAAAGUUUCAUUCCCACAAUAAUGUCAUGGGAAUUAUAUUCAUUGGGGUCCUUGUUGAGUUUUAAGUGUGCUCUAUACUCUCUGUGUGUUAAUACAAGGAGCUCUGGUGGUGCAAUAGUUAAAUGCUUGGUUGCUAACUGAUAGUUCAGUGGUUCAAACCCACCAGCAACUCUGUGGGAGAAAAGACCUGGUGAUCUUCUCCUGUAAAGAUUACAGCCUAGGAAACCCUGUGAGGCAUUUGUACUUUGUUCUGUAGGGUCACUAUGAGUAGGAACAAGCUGGACGGCACACAACAACAACAUCAACAGCAUGUGUUAAUAUAAUGUCCCUAGGUGGUGCAAAUUAUUUGUGCUUGACUGGUUACCUAGAAGUUGGAGGUUUGAACCCACCCUGGUGUACUGCAGAAGAAAAGCCCUGGUGAUCUGUUUCCAUUAAGAUUACAACCAAACAAACCCUGUGGACCAUUUCAACUCUGUAACACAUGGGGUCACCAGGAGUCAGAACUGACUUGACAGCAACUAACAAUAAUAAUGUGCUAAGAUAUUGUCUGUCAUAUUUAUUCCCCUUUUCAUUUAGCUUGUACCUUUACGACACUGUAUUGCUUUCAGUGAGAAGGGAAAGGUAUGUCGAUGAUACGAUUUUAUCCACACAAAUAGAAGUGCGUAAAAAUGGCACGGGAGCAGUGUCUGACCUCCUCUAACUUCACGAGGGGGAAGGAGAAUCAAGAUCAGCAGCCCAACCAUCCGCGAUACUCCACUGCUCCUACCCUGUCUGGAGCAAGGGAGAAUGAAGAAAACCAAAGACAUAGGGAAAGAUUAGUAUAAGGGACUCAUGGACCACAAGUACCACAGCCUCCACCAGACUGAGUCCAGCACAACUGGAUGGUGCCCGGUUACAACAACUUACUUCUCUGACAGGGAUCACAGUAGAGGGUCCCGAACGGAGCUGGAG